rnacentral:rRNA from 1 species
UACGGAGGGGGCUAGCGUUGUUCGGAAUUACUGGGCGUAAAGCGCACGUAGGCGGCUUUGUAAGUUAGAGGUGAAAGCCCGGGGCUCAACUCCGGAACUGCCUUUAAGACUGCAUCGCUAGAAUUGUGGAGAGGUGAGUGGAAUUCCGAGUGUAGAGGUGAAAUUCGUAGAUAUUCGGAAGAACACCAGUGGCGAAGGCGACUCACUGGACACAUAUUAACGCUGAGGUGCGAAAGCGUGGGGAGCAACAGG